rnacentral:lncRNA from 1 species
GAUGAAGAGCUCCAUGGAUAUGGACAUGGAGCACCCAACCAUGAUGAGGUAGAGCUCCAAGUACCUUUUCCUUGAGGUGGGGAACCAUGGCAUGGAGGUGUAGUACUUUGGGUUUAGGGCGUGGAGUUUGAUGUGGUUAAGGAGGUGCCACAAGCCUAGGGCAAAGAAGCCAAAUCCUGGUGCUACAUGCCCCACCAAAGUACCCAUGAUUUUUUUAAAGCUUUGUCUUGGGGGAGAGAGAGAGAGAGAGAGAGAGGGAGGGAGGGCACAAGGAUAUGAGAGAAGACGGGGGGAAGGUGGGGGUUUUAAAGGGGAGUUUCAAGCGGCAUCCACGUCAGAUCAGACUAGCAAGUAUUUUGUUUUUUUGCUAAUUUAGAUUGUAAAAUAUUUAAAAUUGUUCAUAUCAGAUUACCUAAGUAUUUAAAAUUGCUAUAUUUUUUAGUCAUUUUUUAAUAGUAACUAUUCACUUGGUAUUUUUUUAAUAAAUUUUCAUAAUGGAGAAGCUGAUGGAAUUAAAAAAAUAACUAGCUAAAAUAAAGAGUUAUUCGUUAUAAUUUAUUUCAAUUUUAGUGGGAUCUAACAAUAUUAGAUUAUCUUUUUAACUAAAUUAAGCAACAAUAAUUUGAUUAUUUUCUCAAUUUUUUCCUCUAGUUCUACAUUGAGAACUUGGAUAUUUAUUGGAAAAUUAAACAAGGCAAGACGAAAUGUAAAAUUAAAAAAGUAAUUCCUGCCUGUCUCUCUCUCUCUCUAGCUAGGUUAGGAAAAAGAGAAGAAAGCAGAUCACAACUAUUUGUCAAGAAAUUAAAUCCACAUUUCUAGUACUUACUCAAAAAAUGUAAAUGCUUCACUUCCUGAUCCCCAUUUCUUUCUCUAGAAAAAUUCAAAUUGCCAACAAAUGUAAAUGAAUGUUUUUUCCUCUAUUUUUAGUCAUGACUCUACCAUUAAUUUCACAUUUAAGUGGUAGUCGGGGGAGGGGGGGAUGCUGCUUAAUUAGUUGAGUGGUAGUCGUGGUCGUGGUCCUGGUGGGAGUGGCGGUGGUAGUCGUGGUAAGGGGCAUUCAAAAGUGGGGGGACUUAUUGGUUUACAAAAUAUUUCAUGGAACUCAAAGGGUUAAUGUCCAAUUUUUAGGACCUUUCACCAAUUUCACCUUUUUAAGUGGGAUCAUCUAAAUAAUUUUGGCUUAAAGACUGGUGAAGGAAAAAGAAGUACGUGUCAAACCACCCCACAUUGAGAGCUCGAUAUUUCCUUUUCCAAUUAAAGGUUACCUAUUGCUUAUGGAAUCGAAUUGGAUCACGAGGAAAUAGGACAUUUCUUUUUGGAUUUCUUAGUUCUUGUUUCUGUAUUUGAAAUUGUUUUGCAUUUAUAGCUAAAAGAAAACAACAACACAUGAGCUGUAAAAUAGCUCAGGUGUGAGAACAUAUAGAAUUGUACUUCAUGGGAGACUGCAAAAUAUAUUUUGCUUAAACCCUAUUCGUUUUAGGCUUUAUUCGGAUCAAGAAUUUCAAGAGAGAUUUGUUAAGAGAAAAAAAAUAUAAUGAAGAAAAAAUUAAAUUUGAUACGUUAAAUCAAUUAUCUUUCUAUUUAUUAUUUUUCUCAAAUUUUCAAUUCAAAUACAGCCUUUACGUAAUUAGUAUUACGAAACUGAGGGUCACAGUUUCAAAAUUCAAAUUGCUUGGACCAUUUAACAUAAUAGGAGUCUAAGGCAAGGUGGAAUAUUGAACGGGUCCUUUCUUCAAAGACAAUCAGAUGGGUUUUGCUUCUGAAAUGGUUAUAUAUACCCCCAAUGUUUAAUAUAUACAAAAGUACAUGAUAUUUGUUUUGAAAACUACCUAGCAUGGAAAAUUGUUUGAUUUGGCUGCUAAGUCAAUGUUGUAGAAUGAUUUUCAUAGUUUUUCUAUGUUAUUCAUUGUUUACCGAAAAGGAUGUAAAAUUUGAAGAUUUUUUAAAAAUAUUUUCUCAAAAACGCAUUCUUUUUUCGAGACUAGAAAACAUAUUUCAAAAUUCAUCCACUAAAUAAGAUUUCUAAAAAUUAUUCUGCAAAAUUGAUUUAGUAUUCCAUGGUUUAGAGGUGUUAUCAUCCCACGAAUCAGGAUGAUGAACUCGUGUGCUUGAUGGUAGGACCUACAUCAUCGUCCUUGUUGCAACUACAUAGAAAUGCCCUGGACCCCAUGGACUAGGAGCCUCUAAAAUUUUUUCCCAUUUGCAUUAGACUCACAAUGACUCCUUGGAACGGCUCGUGUUUUUUACUGAACUGGCCAAAGAUAGGCAAGAAUUCAAACGAAUCAUUUAGUUUCGGUCACCAUCUUAGGAGUUUACUAUUUUUGGAAGAAUUUGAUUUGACUCGUUUAUUACUUUGUUUCUCUGUUUUGAUUUGUGUCUGUCAAAAUCCUGAAAUCCUUUGUUUUGACUCGUAUCUAGAAUCUAUGAAUUUUGUACGUUUUGACCAUUUUCCUACUAGUUUUUUAAAAACAACCCUGAUUUGCAAAUAUUUGAUUUUCAAAACGAUGGGUAGUUUUUUUUUUCAAUUUUUGUUGAUCAAUUUAAUUUUCGUGAAACCAUGAUUUGGUUUUCAAUAUUCUAUAAAACAAAUCCAUGCAUCCGUUCACAUGGUUGUUCUUGAGCUGUGCCUGCCAGUGACUCACACGAAUGGACGGGUGAAGCCUUCGCAAGUCGAGUCAACUCUGUCUCGUGCCAUGCAAAAUGCAUGCUUCAUGAAUUCAUCUUUUUUCAACAGAAAAGGAUCAAAAUGAUUCGUAAAUAAGAGAAGAGACCUUUACAAGUGAUUGUUAUAAAUAAAUGAAGAAACAAACACAAUGAACUUCACCCAAAGCGAAAAACAGACCAAACAAUAAACUCAUUUCAAUGACCCCUCAACUUUUUACCUAAGUUCAUGGAUUCAUUUGCAGCUAAUUUAAUUGUGGGCUUAAUCUAUAAAAAAUAAAAAUAAAAAACAUAUUCAUUAAUGCACAAAACACUCCCUUGUAAGAAGGUAAUUCAGAGAGGUAGCAGUAACUUAAUUGAUUCUAAGGAUUCAUGAGGAGAGACCGAUUUAUAUGACUGGGACCCGUCUCACAAUGCUGUCGUUGUAUUAGAUUACGAUUUCUAUGAUCACUUUGUAUAGUUCACCAAACUUAGCAUAAGGAGUGAAAGCUUCCUGAGUCAACAGAGCACGUGAAUUGAAUCAUACAGAGUAAAAAAUUGUGCUAAAUCUUAGUAACCUCAUUCGCGGUCUCAAUGCUCUUCGUUAAAAGUGCCCAAACGUAUAGAGUGAUCUAAGAAUCACUAGAAAAUUUUUGAACGGAAAAAUGGCUCUUACUUGAAUAGUCGACCUAAUUGUAAAUUCCAAACGUGAAGCACACGAUCGAUAUAUUAGUGAGAGAAGAAAAUAUGUCUCUCAGAUGACUCAUUAUAAUCACAUAAUACGAAAUGAGAAUUCUUCACAACAAAUUUGUGGUAUGAAGAAACAAUAAAGUAACACCCUCUUUAUUUUUCUAUACAAAUAAACACAAUGAACCCCCCCUAAGCUCAAAGCCAUCAAUGCAGACCAAACAAUAAUCAAACCCCCUAUUUUCCCUAUCAACUUUUCACUCAAAUCAACUUCCACGAAGCCAACAUUAUUGUGGGCUUGGCUUAUACAAACAAACUCAAAAGGCACACAAAAAAAAGACCAACCUAAUAACAAUUUUCUUUUUACAUAUGUACCUAACCACACUUUUUUUUUUUCCUACCUUUCAAUGUCCAUUGGAGCAAAGGCUUUUCCCAUGUGAUCCACAAAGUGUUUGCUUUUCUUUUGAGCCUCGACAUCUUCAACCUCUUCUUGUUGUUCGUACUCGGACAGAGUUUGGUACUCAACUUUCUCUCCAUAGAUUUUGUUCAAGCACAAGUACAAGCACAUGGACCAAAUAAUUACAAGAACCAAGUACCAGCUAAACUCAAUGUUCACAAGUGACCUAGCCCGCUCGAGCGCCUCAUGGGACCCGCACCGGACCACCUUGUGACCCUCCUCCAAGUUCAUGAAGCAACCCUUGGGCAUAAAUUCUGGGGUCCAAAGCAUGAAUCCCAUGACCAUGAGCCAAACCCCUUGGAAAAGUAUGCUAAUGGACCUAACAAAGCUAAUAAGGAAACAUUUGGGGUAACCAAUUCCCAUGAGAGUGGUGAGGAGAGAGAGAAAGAUGACAACUUGGAGGAGGAGGUGGUACUGGCCUUCGACCCCCAUGUGGUCCGCGGAGUGGAGGUGGAAGAUGAGGAGCUGCUGGCCAAAGGCGGCAGCCCCAAGCAAUUGUGUGAGGCCAUAUUGGGACUUGUUGGGGGAAAACUUGUCAAGAAUAAUUGCAAAACAAGCGUAAACAAAGAAGGUGAGGGAUAUGGUGGAGUGUUCAAAGUUGUGGAGGUGGUAGGAGGGGAUGGUGCCAUCUGGGUCAAAGGGUUGGUGCCGGCUCGGCCCGAUGAAGAGCUCCAUGGAUAUGGACAUGGAGCACCCAACCAUGAUGAGGAAGAGUUCCAAGUACCUUAUCUUUGAGGUGGGGAACCAUGGCAUGGAGGUGUAGUACCUUGGGUUUAGGGCAUGGAGUUUGAUGUGGUUAAGGAGGUGCCACAAGCCUAGGACAAAGAAGCCAAAUCCAGGUGCUACAUGCCCCACCAAAGUGCCCAUGUUCUUUUUUGUUGUCCUUUUUGCUCUUCUUGGUGGUUGUUUGUCCUUGGACAAAGUCAGACAGGCAGACAGAGAGAUAGAGGUAGGGAGAUUUUUGGAAUGAAAAGAGAGAGAGAAAGAGGAUUGGGGUGAACAAGGAUAGGGUCUUGUCCUUGGAGAGAGAGAGAGAGAGAGAGAGGGGGGGACACAAGGAUAAGAGAGAGGAUAGGAUAGGGAAAUUAAGAAAGGUUGGGUUUUUAAAUUGGGUGUUUGAAGGGGUUGAAUAUUUGAAAGCCUAGAGACUUCUAUGGGGGUCUGAAUUUUGAACAUUUUGAAGGUACAUGGAAUGACGGGUUUAAU